rnacentral:rRNA from 1 species
UUCUUCGGAGAGUUUGAUCCUGGCUCAGGACGAACGCUGGCGGCGUGCCUAAUACAUGCAAGUCGAGCGAAUCGACGGGAGCUUGCUCCCUGAGAUUAGCGGCGGACGGGUGAGUAACACGUGGGCAACCUGCCUAUAAGACUGGGAUAACUUCGGGAAACCGGAG